AUGAUUUUUCUCCUCAGCUUGUUUUUAUUUGCAUCAAUAUAGAAAUGUUUCAGAAGAAACACUAAAGAAAACAUAUUAUAUAUGUUUUUUUCAGGCUAAGCAAGUCACAUCAGAUUUUACUUGGUAAGGAAAGAUGUACAGAGUUCUUUCAGUGAGAACACAGAAAGGAGACACUUGUCUCAGACACAACCACCUUUUAUCCGCAUUGGUCUUUUUAUUGUCUCUGUCCCACAAAACAGGGGCACCAGAGUGAGGCAUCUCGCUGGCAAUGUCUUCUGGUCUGAGCUCCAUUACUGGUGAUGUGUUCAUAUUAAUAUGAGCACUUGUUGGCAGGCACAACUUGGCUUGUCCUAAUCUACAACUCACUUUGCUAAGGUGUUCCAUUCAGUUCCAGUCAGCCACAGAAUGGGAGUGAAACAGCCAAAACCUCUGGGAUAAUGCAGUAACAACUGGGCUAACUGCUAGCCUGGAUCAUUUGGACGCCGUCCCAGUCACAGCAGCAUAUCUCCCCCUGGAGAAGCAAGAUUAGCCAACUUUUUAAGGUUUAAUAGAUCAUACGUUUCCUGUAGUUCUUGACCAGGUUUGCACACACUGCAGCAGGGAUUUUGGCCCUUUCCUCCAUACAGACCUUCUCCAGAUCCUUCAGGUCAUGUAAAAUGUUCUCCAUUUGUAAAUAAAUUGCCACACAGUGGACUGAUGAAUCGCAUAUUUUCCUGCAAUGGUUGCAAAGACUUUCCCAGACUGAUGUGUUCUCACUACUCUCUCCCUGAUGUCUUCUAAGAUCUCCUUUACAUUACUGUGUGUUUUGCAUUCACCUGUAUGGGCGACACCAAACUGACCUGGUUCCUUAUCUCUAUUUAUCAGAUUCCCAACAAAACGAAAGUCACCACAAAUGCAGUCCUGUAUGCAGGUCAAUGAAAUGCACACCUAAAAUCCACUAGUAUGGAAUGCGGUUUGGGUCUUAGCAUCUCAAAAUGUAUUUGUGGACAAUAACAGUAUUUUAUUUGUCCACUAAGCCUAUUCAUCAAUCAGC
ensembl:lncRNA